CAAUAAAUCUCUUAACUAAUUCAGAGAAAGUUGCUUCCUUUUUCAUCCCCUUUUUGUGCCUUGCGAGCUUCCCUACCCAACAAACGCCAAAAAAAUAAAAAGGGUUCUUCUCUACUCUGCCUUCAUCCUCACUAGACAGAGGUUUCCCCAGAUGGGAUUUCAGCCGCAAGAUCAUCAAAUCCUCAAUCACAUUGUGGGAUGCCUGUAUCUUAAAAAGUGAGCAUCUUUCAUCAUAUAAUUUCAUUAGAUGAGUAAGUAGUGUAGUAGACAAGGAGGGUUCACGAGAGAGAGAGAGAGAGAGCGCCAGGCUGGUCCAAAGCAAAAGAGUAAAGCUGCCACUUGUCAUGACAAUCCCUAGAAAAGCUUGAAGAUAUUGACCAUUAUUCCCCACCGAGAGCAUGAACUUUUGCAGGAUUUUAUGGGGGAAAUUUGGCGCGGUACAGAGUAUCACGGCACCUCGUUUUAAUCCUUGGCACACCAUCAAUGAGAUAUUAGGGCCAGCUCUAAAGAAUGUGGGACCUACAGAUAUUAAGCAUGGCAGGUAAUAAUCGUGUGGAAGUACAAAGCUGCAAUAUUUGAAAGACGUUUGAUGUUCUGCUUGCUCAAGCAGUUAAUUAUGAGACGGUGAGGGGUUUCUUUAAGAAGAUCAUUUUUAGAAGCAAAAGAUUGAACAGAAGAAGGCGGCAAAAGGCCAUUUUAGUCACUAUAGUUUUUUCUCCAAGUUUUGAUUUGACCUCAAAAAUUAAUUUUUGGUGUAGCAUUGUAUUUGAGCUCCAAACGAAAAAAGUUAAUAUAAUAUCUUUCCACAUUUCCAUUAA